GGGGUUGACUGGUUUCGACAGCAAGAUCAAUGGGUAAGUAAGCAUGCAGAGAACCGUAGCGCGAUCUCUUUAAUCCCUUGCUACACAAUUUUAACUGGCGACCAAGAGUUUGCUCUUGCAGCUUAAUCCGAAUUACAGUAGGAUUCAGCGUUUUCCCGAAGUAUAGUAAGGAAGCAAGAUAUCCCGCAGAAGUUCUGUUUCGCGACGUCUGAUUCCGGGGUAUAGCAAUGCGGAAAUAAGGUUUUGGAAACUUCGGCCAAAGCACGAAAACUAAAGAAGAUAAGUCGUAAAUUGGGUGUCUGUGCUCUGUUUACGAUCGAAAACCAAACACAGAAUAAGCAUGUAGAAAGCUUACGUGUUGCUUGUUUGGACGAGGGUUCGAAUCCCUCCAACUCCACGA
rfam:Chryseobacterium haifense DSM 19056 contig07, whole genome shotgun sequence.